rnacentral:tRNA from 4 species
UCCUCAGUAGCUCAAUGGUAGAGCGUCCGGCUGUUAACCGGCAGGUUGCAGGUUCGAGUCCUGCCUGAGGAGCCA